rnacentral:rRNA from 1 species
CCUACGGGUGGCAGCAGUGGGGAAUAUUGGGCAAUGGGCGCAAGCCUGACCCAGCAACGCCGCGUGAAGGAAGAAGGCUUUCGGGUUGUAAACUUCUUUUCUAAGGGACGAAGCAAGGGACGGUAACUGAGGUAUAAGCUACGGCUAACUACGUGCCAGCAGCCGCGGUAAUACGUAGGUGGCAAGCGUUAUCCGGAUUUACUGGGUGUAAAGGGCGUGUAGGCGGGACAGCAAGUCAGAUGGGAAAACCAUGGGCUCAACCUGUGGCCUGCAUUUGAUACUGUUAUUCUUGAGUACUGGAGAGGCAGACGGAAUUCCUAGUGUAGCGGUGAAAUGCGUAGAUAUUAGGAAGAACACCAGUGGCGAAGGCAGUCUACUGGACAGCAACUGACGCUGAGGCGCGAAAGCGUGGGGAGCAAACAGGAUUAGAUACCCCUGUAGUC